CCUACGGGUGGCAGCAGUGAGGAAUAUUGGUCAAUGGGCGGAAGCCUGAACCAGCAAAGUAGCGUGCAGGAUGACGGCCCUACGGGUGUUAAACUGCUUUUAUACGGGAAUAACCCGCCUUACGUGUAGGCCUUUGCAUGUACCUUAUGUAUAAGGACCGGCUAAUUCCGUGCAAGCAGCCGCGGUAAUACGGAGGGUCCGGGCGUUAUCCGGAUUUAUUGGGUUUAAAGGGAGCGUAGGCGGCAUGUCAAGCGUGCUGUGAAAUGUCCGGGCUCAACCCGGGCCUUGCAGCGCGAACUGGCGUGCUUGAGUCCGCGGAAAGCAGGCGGAAUUCGUCGCGUAGCGGUGAAAUGCUUAGAUAUGACGAAGAACCCCGAUUGCGAAGGCAGCUUGCUGCAGCGGAACUGACGCUGAUGCUCGAAAGCGCGGGUAUCGAACAGGAUUAGAUACCCCAGUAGUC
rnacentral:rRNA from 1 species